UUUAUGGAGAGUUUGAUCCUGGCUCAGGAUGAACGCUGGCGGCGUGCCUAAUACAUGCAAGUCGAGCGAACAGAUAAGGAGCUUGCUCCUUUGACGUUAGCGGCGGACGGGUGAGUAACACGUGGGUAACCUACCUAUAAGACUGGAAUAACUCCGGAAACCGGGGCUAAUGCCGGAUAACAUGUUGAACCGCAUGGUUCUACAGUGAAAGACGGUCUUGCUGUCACUUAUAGAUGGACCCGCGCCGUAUUAGCUAGUUGGUGGGGUAACGGCCUACCAAGGCGACGAUACGUAGCCGACCUGAGAGGGUGAUCGGCCACACUGGAACUGAGACACGGUCCAGACUCCUACGGGAGGCAGCAGUAGGGAAUCUUCCGCAAUGGGCGAAAGCCUGACGGAGCAACGCCGCGUGAGUGAUGAAGGUCUUCGGAUCGUAAAGCUCUGUUGUUAGGGAAGAACAAAUGUGUAAGUAACUGUGCACAUCUUGACGGUACCUAACCAGAAAGCUACGGCUAACUACGUGCCAGCAGCCGCGGUAAUACGUAGGUGGCAAGCGUUAUCCGGAAUUAUUGGGCGUAAAGCGCGCGUAGGCGGUUUUUUAAGUCUGAUGUGAAAGCCCACGGCUCAACCGUGGAGGGUCAUUGGAAACUGGAAAACUUGAGUGCAGAAGAGGAAAGUGGAAUUCCAUGUGUCGGUGAAAUGCGCAGAUAUGGAGGAACACCAGUGGCGAAGGCGGCUUUCUGGUCUGCAACUGACGCUGAUGUGCGAAAGCGUGGGGAUCAAACAGGAUUAGAUACCCUGGUAGUCCACGCCGUAAACGAUGAGUGCUAAGUGUUAGGGGGUUUCCGCCCCUUAGUGCUGCAGCUAACGCAUUAAGCCCUCCGCCUGGGGAGUACGGUCGCAAGACUGAAACUCAAAGGAAUUGACGGGGACCCGCACAAGCGGUGGAGCAUGUGGUUUAAUUCGAAGCAACGCGAAGAACCUUACCAAAUCUUGACAUCCUUUGACCGCUCUAGAGAUAGAGUUUUCCUCUUCGGAGGACAAAGUGACAGGUGGUGCAUGGUUGUCGUCAGCUCGUGUCGUGAGAUGUUGGGUUAAGUCCCGCAACGAGCGCAACCCUUGAACUUAGUUGCCAUCAUUCAGUUGGGCACUCUGUUGACUGCCGGUGACAAACCGGAGGAAGGUGGGGAUGACGGCAAAUCCUCAUUGCCCUUAUGAUUUGGGCUACACACGUGCUACAAUGGACAAUACAAAGGGCAGCGAAACCGCGAGGUCAAGCAAAUCCCAUAAAGUUGUUCUCAGUUCGGAUUGUAGUCUGCAACUCGACUACAUGAAGCUGGAAUCGCUAGUAAUCGUAGAUCAGCAUGCUACGGUGAAUACGUUCCCGGUCUUGUACACCGCCCGUCACACCACGAGAGUUUGUAACACCCGAAGCCGGUGGAGUAACCAUUUUGGAGCUAGCCGUCGAAGGUGGGACAAAUGAUUGGGGUGAAGUCGUAACAAGGUAGCCGUAUCGGAAGGUGCGGCUGGAUCACCUCCUUUCU
rnacentral:rRNA from 1 species